rnacentral:rRNA from 1 species
CGGACGGGUGAGUAACACGUGGAUAACCUACCUAUAAGACUGGGAUAACUUCGGGAAACCGGAGCUAAUACCGGAUAAUAUAUUGAACCGCAUGGUUCAAUAGUGAAAGACGGUUUUGCUGUCACUUAUAGAUGGAUCCGCGCCGCAUUAGCUAGUUGGUAAGGUAACGGCUUACCAAGGCAACGAUGCGUAGCCGACCUGAGAGGGUGAUCGGCACACUGGAACUGAGACACGGUCCAG